AAUCAACGCUGGCGGCGCGCUUAACACAUGCAAGUCGAACGAGAAAGCCGGGGCAACCUGGUGAGUAAAGUGGCGUACGGGUGAGUAACACGUGGAUCAUCUACCCUGGAGUGGGGAAUAACGCUGGGAAACCGGCGCUAAUACCGCAUAAUCCCGAGAGGGCAAAGGAAGCAAUUCCGUUUCAGGAGGAGUCUGCGGCCGAUUAGCUUGUUGGCAGGGUAAAAGCCUACCAAGGCANCGAUCGGUAGCCGGCCUGAGAGGGCACACGGCCACACUGGCACUGAAACACGGGCCAGACUCCUACGGGAGGCAGCAGUGGGGAAUCUUGCACAAUGGGGGCAACCCCUGAUGCAGCGACGCCGCGUGAGCGAUGAAGCUCCUCGGAGUGUAAAGCUCUUUCGGCAGGGAAGAUUAUGACGGUACCUGCAGAAGCAGCUGCGGCUAACUACGUGCCAGCAGCCGCCGUAAU
rnacentral:rRNA from 1 species